CCUACGGGAGACAGCAGUGGGGAAUAUUGCACAAUGGCGGAAACCCUGAUGCAGCGACGCCGCGUGAGUGAAGAAGUAUCUCGGUACGUAAAGCUCUGUCAGCAGGGAAGAAAAUGACGGUACCUGACUAAGAAGCCCCCGCUAACUACGUGCCAACAGCCGCGGUAAUACGUAGGGGGCCAGCGUUAUCCGGAUUUACUGGGUGUAAAGGGAGCGUAGACGGGAGCACAAGGCUGGAGUGAAAUCCCGGGGCUUAACCCCGGAACUGCUUUGGAAACUGUGCGGCUGGAGUGAAGGAGGGGUAAGCGGAAUUCCGAGUGUAGCGGUGAAAUGCGUAGAUAUUAGGAGGAACACCGGUGGCGAAGGCGGCUUACUGGACUGUAACUGACGUUGAGGCUCGAAAGCGUGGGGAGCAAACAGGAUUAGAUACCCUGGUAGUC
rnacentral:rRNA from 1 species